rnacentral:rRNA from 1 species
CAACUUUCAGCAAUGGAUCUCUUGGUUCUCGCAUCGAUGAAGAACGCAGUGAAAUGCGAUAACUGGUGUGAAUUGCAUCCAAGUAACUCUAAUUUACGAAUAACACCAAGUGAAUCAUCGAGUCUUUGAACGCAAUUGCGCCCUCUCGGUCGCUUCC